rnacentral:rRNA from 1 species
GAGUUUGAUCCUGGCUCAGGAUGAACGCUAGCGGCAGGCUUAAUACAUGCAAGUCGAACGGUAACAUGAGAGCUUGCUCUUGAUGACGAGUGGCGCACGGGUGCGUAACGCGUAUGCAACCUACCCUUCACUGGGGGAUAGCCAGGAGAAAUUCUGAUUAAUACCCCAUGGUACUGUAAUGUAGCAUUACAUAGCAGUUAAAGAUUUAUUGGUAAAGGAUGGGCAUGCGUGACAUUAGUUAGUUGGUAAGGUAACGGCUUACCAAGACGAUGAUGUCUAGGGGUUCUGAGAGGAAGGUCCCCCACACUGGUACUGAGACACGGACCAGACUCCUACGGGAGGCAGCAGUAGGGAAUAUUGGUCAAUGGACGCAAGUCUGAACCAGCCAUGCCGCGUGCAGGAUGACAGCUUUCUGAGUUGUAAACUGCUUUUAUAUAGGAACAAAGAGGCCAUGCGUGGCAAGUUGCGUGUACUAUAUGAAUAAGCACCGGCUAACUCCGUGCCAGCAGCCGCGGUAAUAC